rnacentral:rRNA from 1 species
UCUAUCAGUAAUGGCGAAUGAACAUAGACAGACCGUCAUCGAAUUGUGUUACACGGUGUACCAGCGAAGUGUGAUGUGAGCAUUGCAUCAAAAGUUGAUCGAAGUGGCGUAAUUUCGAUUGAAAUCGAUCUACCCGUGGAGGGUGAGAGGCCCUUGAGGCUACUGUCUCGACUUUGUGGCAUUGACGGAUGAGUAGAAUUGCUUGAGAUCGCAGUUCAAAUAAGUGUGACAAAGCCCACACAAGUCUCAGUAUUGUUGCGAGACCGAUAGCGAACAAGUACCGUGAGGAAAAGUUGAAAAGCACUCUGAAAAGAGAGUUCACAAGUGCGUGAAACUGCACACUGCAAAGCGAAUGACUGGACAUCAUUAAGUGCGAUCUGCCAUGUGUCUAGCACUGGGUACGUGAGAGUAAGCUGUGUUCUACUCAUGUUCUGUCUCUCUCGCGGGGUACCUUAGUGCAAAGAUGCGCAUCUGAUUGUGUCUUCGGCUGCUCGCUGGGUUGGCAAGAGUGAUGGUCGCUGCCGAACAAGAGUUCCGUCAAGGGGCUCUCUGUACUAGUGGUGCACACAGUGGCUAAUUGCGCACUCCGGUGUGCUUUGGUUGUGUAUCAGGCCAACCCAGUUGCGAAAAGGCCUAACUUUGACCGUCUGUCUCCGAAUUAUGGCAACAUCUGCUGGUAAUGUGGUUGGUGAGGCCGGUCAUGUGGAUGUACUGGCGCGAGUACGGCAAUCGAAGAAGGCAGCCAAUGGCUUGUGCAGCAUUCGAACCGUCUUGAAACACGGACUAAGGAGUUCAACUUAAACGCAAGUCGUUUUUCGCUGAGAAUAUUAAAGGCAAAGUGAAAUCGACUCUGUAAUGAGAGAUGUUAACUGAUGGGUAUGAUGAGUACUUUUGAUGGUAAGCACGCGUGAUGAGUAGCACAAUUGUUAUUGUUGCUGACUGCGCCUGAGCGUUCAGGUUGAGACCCGAAAGAUGGUGAACUAUGCCUGAGUAGGACGAAGCCAGGAGAAAUUCUGGUGGAAGUUCGUAGCGGUUUUGACGUGCAAAUCAAUCGCAAAACUUUGGUAUAGGGGCGAAAGACUAAUCGA